rnacentral:rRNA from 1 species
UACGUAGGGUGCAAGCGUUGUCCGGAUUUAUUGGGCGUAAAGAGCUCGUAGGCGGUGUGUCGCGUCGGCCGUGAAAACCUGCAGCUUAACUGUGGGCUUGCGGUCGAUACGGGCAUCACUGGAGUUCGGCAGGGGAGACUGGAAUUCCUGGUGUAGCGGUGAAAUGCGCAGAUGUCAGGAGGAACACCGGUGGCGAAGGCGGGUCUCUGGGCCGAUACUGACGCUGAGGAGCGAAAGCGUGGGGAGCGAACAGG